rnacentral:tRNA from 1 species
GGUUUCGUGGCCCAAUGGCAAGGCGUCUGACUACGAGAAAAAUCUAUCGCGACAACGAUGAGUUGGACAAUGGAUAACCUCAUAGUAAUCAGGAGAUUCUGGGUUCGACCCCCAGCGAGAUCA